rnacentral:rRNA from 1 species
UACAGAGACUGCAAGCGUUAUUCGGAUUCACUGGGCGUAAAGCGUGCGUAGGUGGUUUGUUAAGUCCGUUGUGAAAGCCCUGGGCUCAACCUGGGAAUGGCAGUGGAUACUGGCAAGCUAGAGUGCAGAAGGGGCAAUCGGAAUUCUUGGUGUAGCGGUGAAAUGCGUAGAUAUCAAGAGGAACACCUGAGGUGAAGACGGGUUGCUGGGCUGACACUGACGCUGAGGCGCGAAAGCCAGGGGAGCAAACGGG